CCCUAUUCUCUGUGCCCUAGUCCCUCCCUCUCUCAACCCGAUGUCGCGCCGCACGUCUCUGCCCGAUGCCGUCGCCGCCGUCGCCGUCGUGUCGCCGUAGCGGUCGGCCUGGUGAGAGUCGUCGUCGCCCUUGGGCAGAGCCACAACCGCUUGCUCCCCCUCCUCAAGCGAGCUCCACAGCGUCGCCGCUAGUUGCCAUCGUCAACAAUGUCGCUCCUCUUCGCUUCUUGACGCACGCGCGAUCCCAUGCCGCCCAUCACCGACGCCGCCCUAAUCACCCGGCACCAGCCGUGGCCAGUCUUCCGUGCGCCUUCGGCUCCUCUCCGGCCACGAGCAGGAGGCAGUGGGGUUGUGCUGGUGAGCCGAUUUCCCCUCUCCCAUUCCACAUGAUGCCACUCUAUCACCAGCAUCCCGAUUCCCUUCCUCAAUUGGCCACACGAGCACUACAGACGCCGCAUACCACUGGUCUACUGAACUCUUUUGGUUCCUUUCCCCAUCGCCGCUCGAUUUCACCGGAUCUAUGCUCAGUGUUGCCACACAAUCGUGCCGGAUCCCUGCUCGGUGUCAUUGUUCGAUCGGGGCAAUGCCACCCCAUCACCGUCCUUUCUUCUACCUUGGCUCACUACUACGGUGGCAUCUCAAUUCUCUUUGAGAGAAACCUGUGGAUCAGUGAGCAUUUCAGCCAGCUGGUUGUUUCUCAUUUCCACGAUUAGUAGCAGCUUCGGGUUCCUUUUGAAGAGCUCCUAUGUUCCGUCUUCGGUCAUUGCAGCCACCUUCUCCAGAUUUGGAGCUUUUGAUUUGCAGUGGCUGUCCUCCUUCAGCAAAGGUUAUCAAGGAUAUUGAUUUUGAGACAAGCAUAUCAAUGUGAGAUUAUUUAGCAUGAUCUACGUAUAAAGAUAGCAGAUAAAAGAUUUAUGGAGUCGCCUAGAGGUCCUAUCCGCCAGUACCACGCCACAUUCGAGGAUGAUCUUAUGAUUUUGGGGAGAUAUUGUCGAAAUUUUGUCGAUAGGGACUCCUCGGGGGGCGUGAUAGUUGGAGUUAGACGAUCAAGUCAAAAUUGAAUCCAAACUCGAGUAAGAUCCAACAGAGAAGCCUACUGAAUUAGGAGUUGCGCUCAAGGAUGCAAAUUAGAGCGAAAAUAGAGCAAAGACACACAUUGGAGCAAACAUAGAGAAAAUCAGCAACCUGGCCAUGCCACAUAGACACAGUCGUGCCUCCCAUCCACGGUCGCGUCACACCCUCCACCCAAACUGUAGACCAAAUUUUGAACCACCAUAACUAUCAACUCAAUUGGAUUCAAGGCUCGAGCCAAAUAUCAUAAUCUAGAUAAUUUCAAGGGCUAUAACUUUGGUUUAGAGUGAAACAUGAGAAAAUCAUGUUUAAAGGGUAAAAAACAUGUUUUAACGGAGCCCUAUAAACUUGACAGAUUUGGACAGUUUGAAGGAGGUAUAAAAAUGUCAAGAAACUCAUUCUUUGACUUAUCUUGAGUUUAGGAUUUCAUCCCUCUCCUUGGUGAAGGAUUCUCUCCUUAGGGGUAAACCCUAAAACUUCCAUCUUCAUUGAUCCGCAUGAUCACUCCACCUCCGGAGCAAGGAUUGCAAGUAAGAAGACUGGCGGCACAUAGAUAAGCAUUCCUCUCUUCUCUAUCUUUUGUUUUGGAUUAUAGGAUGCUUAAUUUUUUGUCUCUUAUUUGUAAAUUCUUUGUAACGGAGUAGAUAUCUAGAUCUAAGAUGAAGUAGUUGUGAUGUGAUGUAUGAACUGUGU